UCCCGACUCGUUUUUCCCCACUGAUUCCUCCUAUGGCCAAAUCGAAGCCGAAAUCCCGGCCAAACGGCCGGAAUACGCGGCCGAAGCCCAGCGGCACCGCCGCGCCCCCUCUCGGUUUUUGCCUCCGACGAGGCCCUUCCCGGCCUCCGUUCGAUGCAAUUUUUAUAUCACCGUGAUCACCAUUCUUUUCUCUACAGGUUGACCGAAGCCAAAU
rnacentral:lncRNA from 1 species